CGCAGAUACACAAGAUACUCUAAUCAAAUGACAUUUGCAACUGUGAAGGGCUCAGGACACACAGCUCCUGAGUACAAGCCUGAUGAAGGUUACGCCAUGUUCAGCAGGUGGAUAGCUAGUAAGCCUUUGUAACUCAACCACAAUAGAUGUGUUCAUAUGUAAUAUAAUUAUCACAAAUAAAAUAUGUUAUAAUAAUUUUUGGAUUUGUAUGUUACCGAUGCUUUGCAAAUUAAUUUGAUUUGUUUUGUAUUGUCUCUUUA